UUUUUUUUUUUUUUAGAUUUAUUUAUUUAGAGAAAGCAAUCAUGUGGGGGAGGAGCAAGGGAGAAAGAGAAAGAAACUCAGGCAGACUCCUCACUGAGCUCGGUGCCCAAUGCAGGGCUCAAUUUCACAAUCCUGAGUUCACAACCUGAGCAGAACCCAAGAGUCGGAUGUUUAACCCACUGUGCCACCCAGGCACCCUAUAGGCUUCUAUCUUUAAGAGUGAGGUGCUAAGAAGUUGUGAAUGUUAAUUAAAUUGUUAAUUAACAGUUGCAAUAAAUACAAAGGAAACUCAAUUAAAAAAAAUAAGUAAGACUGAGUUGUAGGAAGAGAGAAGUUUUCAUUUUAAAUAGUUUACAGUCCUAAAUCAAUACAAUGCAUUAGGCAUUUUAUUUGUCAAAUUGAGGGUGAUCCAUCUGGUCCACUAGGUUUUUUUUACUAGUAAAGACUGUAAAAGCACUUGCCAAACAUUUCAUCCAUGGGUUAGAGAAAAAAUAUAACCUCACAGAGAAGGGCUAACAGAGGCAAUACUGGAAGAAUAUGUUUUUUAAAGAUUUUAUUUAUUUGAGAGAAAGAGAGUACACAAGCCAGUAGAAUAGCAGGCAGAAGGAAAGGGAGAAGCAGGCUCCCCGCUGAGCAGGGAGCCCUAUACAGGGCUCAAUCCUGGGAUCACAAUCUGAGCCAAAGGGAGAUGUUUAACUGACUGAUCCACCCAGGCACCCUGGGAGAAUAUGGGUUUUUUUUGAAAAUACAAAACUGGAAUGGGCUAAAGACCUAAAUGUGUAAGAUAAAACUACAAAGUUAAUAGACAAAACUGGAGAAUUUCUUUGUGAUCAUAGAGCAGAAAAACAAACAGCAAUUUUGUACUAUAAACCACAGGGGGAAAAUAUGCAACUGUGGCAUUAAGAUAAAGGCUUUCUGUUUAAUAAGUAACAGAAAAAGAAUACAUAUAGAAUAGGAUUAUUUGCAGAAUCUGUCAGGAAAUUAAUACCUAGAAUAUUUAAGAAACACUUGCAAAUCAGCAGCAAAAAGGCAGCAAUCUGAAUUGAAAUAUGAACACAAGGUACAAAGACGAAAUUUAUAAAUAAACUCAAAAAGCUGAGAAGCAUUAAAGAAUACUCAAAAUCACUGGCAAUCAUGGAAAAGCAAAUAAUAUACUACACAAUAUACUACACAGAUGUAAUUCUUUAGACACUUUACACUCAUAAAUAUGAAAAAGCUAGAUAGUGCUGUGUUCUUUGCAGAUUUAGGGUUAUAGGAACACUCAUAUGCAAUGCUAGUAGAAUUGUGGACUUGUACAACUAAUCUAAACAUGACUUGACACUACUUAGACAAGUAAACUCAUAUCCUGACCCAGAUAUCAAUGGCCUUCAAAAUUCUCAAACGGGUCCAUAAAGGAAUACAUAUAUAUAUAUAAGGAUAUUCACUUAAUUUCUUAUGGUGGUUGGGUAUCGCAGGUAACCCAAGGGUCCAACCCCUGGAAGACUAGAUAGGCAAAGAGUGGUAGAUGUCCUGACAUAUGUUUACAUAGUGACAGAAGGAUUGUAAAAACAUGGUGGUUAGUGAAAAACAAAAAAGAGAAGAUAUAUUAUUUGUAUAGCUAAAAAAUACAUGCAAGUAAAAUAUAUGACUUUGUAAGAACAUAUUCAAUAUAAAGAUAUUUUGAAUGACUCUAUAGAGGAAGAAGGGAAACAGGGUGGAGAUUGAAAGAAGACAGACCCCCUCAUGAAUUAAUGAUUAGUGAGGCUGUUUAACUCAAUUUCAGUUUCAGAGAUUGAUUAAAAAAAAAUUAAAAACAUUUUUUCCCCUCUGCAUACUCCCCCAUGGAAUCAAGCAUUUAAUGAUAUUACUUUUCAGAAUUUUUUUUUACCUCUAAGUUUUUUCUUGUUUACUCUACCUAGCACCUCUAAAGAAAUGUUAACUAGUAGUAGAAAAAAGAGACUCAAAAAAAAAAAAAAAAAAA
rnacentral:lncRNA from 1 species